GUAUCUGCCCUUUGGCCUGGAAUAACACGAGGAAACUUGUGCUAAUACCGGAUAAGUCUUUACGGAGAAAGCUUUAUGCACCAUUGGAUGAGCCUGCACUUGAUUAGUUUGUUGGUGGGGUAAUGGCCUACCAAGACUGUGAUCAAUAGCUGAUUUGAGAGGAUGAUCAGCCACAUUGGGACUGAGACACGGCCCAAACUCCUACGGGAGGCAGCAGUGGGGAAUCUUGCACAAUGGAGGAAACUCUGAUGCAGCGAUGCCGCGUGAGUGAAGAAGGCCCUUGGGUUGUAAAGCUCUUUCGUCGGGGAAGAAAAUGACUGUACCCGAAUAAGAAGGUCCGGCU
rnacentral:rRNA from 1 species